rnacentral:rRNA from 1 species
UGAAGGGUAUGAUCUUGGCUCAGAACGAACGCUGGCGGCGUGGAUUAGGCAUGCAAGUCGCACGAGGGAGCGUCCCGAAAGGGGCGCAAACCGAGUGGCGUAAGGGUGAGUAAUGCAUUGAUAACCUACCUUUGAGAUGGGAACAACAACGUUCCAAGUAAUUGGGGCUACCGAAAGGGUUGCUAAUUCUCAAUAAAAAUGCUGACACUUUGGUGUCGGCAGUCAAAGAAAUGGAUCUGAAAAGGUCCAUUUGCUCAGAGAGGGGUCAAUGUCCUAUCAGCUAGUUGGUAGGGUAAUGGCCUACCAAGGCGAAGACGGGUAGCCGGCCUGAGAGGGUGGUCGGCCACACUGGGACUGAGACACUGCCCAGACUCCUACGGGAGGCUGCAGUCGAGAAUCUUUCGCAAUGC